ensembl:lncRNA
GGGGGAGUAGUCGUUGCCGGCGGAACAACUGAACCGAGGGGGGGGGGGUAGUAGUCGAUGCGGACGGAACGACCGACGGGGAGGGGGGUAGUAGUCGCGCGCUCUGUGUUCGCUGGUCGUGCACGGUAAAAGGACAAGAAAAACGCCUGGUGACGCGUAGAUUAGAAAACAAGUCAGUUCUCAAUGUGAAAAAAACCCUGCUGUAUAGGCUAUUUCUGAUGACAUAGGUAGUACAUGAGUGUUCCUUUAACUUAUGUUGUCAGUGUAAUUGACAGGCUGCUUAACUGGUUAACUCUUAAUUCAACAUGUUUUUCAGGCAGUGAGAGGACAGGCAAUGAUGCAGAGAGCACAGGGAGAGGAGAAACACCAGGUCCAAUAGAGAGAGAAGCACAGAGGAGCCAUGAACCCCAGGAGCCAUGAACCCCAGAACACGUGUUCUGGGGUUCAUGGCUCCUCUGUGCAAGGCAGGACCUGACGUGGAGGACAAGGAGACUCCGUAUGUAGAUAGUUCUUAAUCUGCAAUUGUGUUGUGUUGACAUACUUUUCUUUACUAUUUUCUUAAAUUUAACAUUUAACAUAAUGCAGUAUAGCCAGGACAGCCUUACAGUCGCGAGGCUUCGCAUCGCGUUGCUUCGCAUCGAGGUCUGUAUGAUCACAAAAUUCAGAGUUUACCCACCUCUAAUUUUACCACUACAGCACUGAGAAAGACCCAUUGUGGUUUUAGAGGCAGUUACAGCACACAUAGCUUUUAGCAGACCCAAUGCACAGAUGCACUAGUAAACUGUUGUUCAACUCCAAAUUCAAGGAAUCAAACUGUUUUGAUUUAUCUAUUCACGUUGCACUAUUUACGUUGUAAAAAAGGUUUAUUUCUUUUAAUAAACUGUUUUUCACUUUGGAAGGAGUCAGACUUGUACCUUUUACCCACUUCCAGUUUUUCUACUAGGCUAAGUUAAUUCCUUCUCCAUACUCCAUUCUUCAAAAUGAAGACAUUUGGAUCACAUUGUAUUCUUCAUGUGAGAGCUCCGCCCAUGAGGAUCUUUGGGAAUAUCCAUGAGUAGUUUGGGUCUCAUUAUGGGUACCAAGUCAUCCUCGCUCAGCCAGAGAAGCCCAGAGACUUACAGUGCAUCCGGAAAGUAUUCACAAAGCUUCACUUUUUCCACAUUUUGUUAUGUUACAGCCUUAUUCCAAAAUGGAUUAAAUUCAUUAUUUUCCUCAACAUUCUACACACAACCACCCAUAAUGACAAAGUGAAAACUGUUUUUUGCAAAUCUGCUAAAAAUAAAGAACGAAAACAUAACAAGUACAUAAUGUGAUGUCACGAGAGGCUGGGUCUUGGAAGGGAGGUACGUUCACCGAAGAUGGCUAUAACUGGUAUGGCUCCAUCUGCCGGUGGAGUUAGGAACCCCACUCCGAGCAUCCCCCUCACAUCUGAAACCCAUCAGGGUAUGACGACCUGAAGGCCUUCAUAAGGGUGGGAGACACACCAUUGAGGGGAAGAGAGAGACGAGCUGCAGGUUGGGCCCGAUGCAGAAGACCUAUACAGGAGGAUUCCCGGAGACCGGAGGGACUGAGAAGACGAGGCAUUAUUUAAGUUUUACCAGCGAAGAUCGACCGAAGCCUAAGUUACACAUUUUUGACUACUGUUUUCUGUUGAAGCCAAAGGACGUGAAUUAAACCUUUUGUUUACAUUUUGAACCUGGUGUCCUUGCACUACCCCAGUGAGAGCGGCGCUGCCUCUCAUGACAUCACAAUAAGUAUUCACAGCCUUUGCUCAAUACUUUGUUGAAGCACCUUUGGCAGCAAUUACAGCCUCAAGUCUUCUUGGGUAUGAUUCCACAAGCGUGGCACACCUAUUUCUGGGCAGUUUCUCUCAUUCUUCUUUGCAGAACCUCUCCAGUUCCAUCAGGUUGGAUGGGGAGCAUCGGUGCACAGCCAUUUUCAGAUCUCUCCAGAGAUGUUCAACCGGGUUCAAGUCAGGGCUCUGGCUGGGCCACUCAAGGACAUUCACAGAGUUGUGCCGAAGCCACUCCUUUGUUAUCUUGGCUGUGUGCUUCGGGUCGUUGUCCUGUUGGAAGAUGAACCGUCGCCCCAGUCGGAGGUCCAGAGCGCUUUGGAGCAUGUUUUCAUCGAGGAUGUCUCUGUACAUUGCUGCAUUCAUCUUUCCCUCAAUCCUGACUAGUCUCCCAGUUCCUCCUGCUGAAAAACAUCCCCACAGCAUGAUGCUGCCACCACCAUGCUUCACUGUAGGGAUGGUAUUGGCCAGGUGAUGAGCAGUGCCUGGUUUCCUCCACAUGACGCUUGGCAUUCAGGCC